rnacentral:tRNA from 1 species
GGCCAUGAUGGCGGGCGGGGUGCUCGCGGUCUGCGGUAUCGCGCUGGCGCGUGGUGGAGCCGAGGAUCGGGUCGCUGCUCGGCCGC